CCUCAGUUCUCCAAGCCCCCGGGAAUGGCUCUGGCAGGUCCAGCCUCCAGCACAAACACCAAGAAGCCCCAUGGAGAGACCACACACAAGUGGUGUACCUUGCAGAGCCCCAGCUGGAGUCCCAGCUGAGAGCCAGCACCAGUUGCCAUACACAUGCACAAACCCAGCAGAAAUCAAGUAAUACUAGAAGGCUGGAGGUCCGAGGUCAGGGAGGUGACAAGGCCCUGUCCUCAAAUAGAGUCACUUUCUGGGGUACUGGAGGUGAGGAUCUGAACGUGUGGAUUUGUGAGGGACAUGAUUUGGCCCGUAGCACGUGGAGUCUCUCAGCGAGGAUCAGACAUGGAGGUGUCCGAUCAGGGAGGUGUUCCUGUGAGUGGAACCACUGUGGGAGGACAUCUUUUCUACAAAAGCCAAACUGCUCUUCUGGACAUCACUUGUCAACUACAGAGAUGCUGCUGAAGUGGCACUUGAUGGAAAUUUCUG
rnacentral:lncRNA from 1 species